CACUCCUACCUGUUUAGCACCAUAGGAAUCCAAAUUGCCAUGCUAUUGCUGCCUCCCUCCUCUCCACCCACAGCACUUCUGUUCAGUUUCCAGACACUGCAUCAGCAGCAGGCUGCUGUGCCAAGCCCCCUCCCUGCACCAGCAGAAUGCAGUUCCCAAGGCAUCCUGCUCUUUGGAGGAAAUGGUCUCAUUCUGUACCCCCAGGCUCUGGAGCAUAAUGUCCCUCACAACAGCCUGUGCACUUGGAAUAUAACAGUACCAGAGGACAAAAUCAUCUUGAUGUCCUUCACUAAAUUAGAUGUAGGUACCAACUUGGAUGUGACUCUGACUAUGUGUCUCUCUAUUUGAAUGGAAGAGAGCUGAUCAGACCUUUGGUAGCAGAAGAAACUGCGUGCUUAGCCUUGCUUAGCUGGUGAGUGUCCAGGUGGACUUCUGAUGUGUUAGUCUAGCCAGUAAUGUGUUGAAGACACAACUCACAGGCUGGCUCUUAGCUCGAAAUCAUGU